AGGUGGUGCAUGGUUGUCGUCAGCUCGUGUCGUGAGAUGUUGGGUUAAGUCCCGCAACGAGCGCAACCUUGUGUUUAGUUGCAAACAGGUCAAGCUGUGCACUCUAGACAGACUGCCGUGGACAACACGGAGGAAGGUGGGGAUGACGUCAAAUCAUCAUGCCCCUUAUGAUCUGGGCUACACACGUGCUACAAUGGCCGGUACAACGGGCAGCGAAGGAGCGAUCCGGAGCGAAUCCUAAAAAGCCGGUCCCAGUUCGGAUUGCAGGCUGAAACUCGCCUACAUGAAGUUGGAGUUGCUAGUAAUCGCGAAUCAGAAUGUCGCGGUGAAUGCGUUCCCGGGUCUU
rnacentral:rRNA from 1 species